rnacentral:rRNA from 1 species
AGAGUUUGAUCCUGGCUCAGAUUGAACGCUGGCGGCAUGCCUUACACAUGCAAGUCGAACGGUAACAGGUCUUCGGACGCUGACGAGUGGCGAACGGGUGAGUAAUACAUCGGAACGUGCCCAGUCGUGGGGGAUAACUACUCGAAAGAGUAGUUAAUACCGCAUACGAUCUGAGGAUGAAAGCGGGGGACCUUCGGGCCUCGCGCGAUUGGAGCGGCCGAUGGCAGAUUAGGUAGUUGGUGGGAUAAAAGCUUUCCAAGCCGWCGAUCUGUAGSUGGUCUGAGAGGACGACCAGCCACWCUGGGACUGAGACACGGCCCAGACUCNUACGGGAGGCAGCAGUGGGGAAUUUUGGACAAUGGGCGAAAGCWUGAUCCAGCAAUGCCGCGUGCAGGAUGAAGGCCUUCGGGUUGUAAACUGCUUUUGUUCGGAACGAAAAAGCUUCUCCUAAUACGAGAGSCCCAUGAUCGGUACCGUAAGAAUAAGCAGCCGGCUAAUCUACGUGCCAGCAGCCGCGGUAAU